rnacentral:rRNA from 4 species
UAGUGAUCCGGUGGUUCUGAAUGGAAGGGCCAUCGCUCAACGGAUAAAAGGUACUCCGGGGAUAACAGGCUGAUACCGCCCAAGAGUUCAUAUCGACGGCGGUGUUUGGCACCUCGAUGUCGGCUCAUCACAUCCUGGGGCUGAAGUAGGUCCCAAGGGUAUGGCUGUUCGCCAUUUAAAGUGGUACGCGAGCUGGGUUUAGAACGUCGUGAGACAGUUCGGUCCCUAUCUGCCGUGGGCGCUGGAGAACUGAGGGGGGCUGCUCCUAGUACGAGAGGACCGGAGUGGACGCAUCACUGGUGUUCGGGUUGUCAUGCCAAUGGCACUGCCCGGUAGCUAAAUGCGGAAGAGAUAAGUGCUGAAAGCAUCUAAGCACGAAACUUGCCCCGAGAUGAGUUCUCCCUGAGACUUAGAGUCUCCUGAAGGAACGUUGAAGACGACGACGUUGAUAGGCCGGGUGUGUAAGCGCAGCGAUGCGUUGAGCUAACCGGUACUAAUGAACCGUGAGGCUUAACCUUACA